UACGUAGGGACCAAGCGUUGUUCGGAUUUACUGGGCGUAAAGGGCGCGUAGGCGGCAAUUCAAGUCAUCUGUGAAAUCUCCGGGCUUAACCCGGAACGGUCAGAUGAUACUGCUUUGCUAGAGUGCGGAAGGGGCAAUCGGAAUUCUUGGUGUAGCGGCGAAAUGCGUAGAUAUCAAGAGGAACACCUGAGGUGAAGACGGGUUGCUGGGCCGACACUGACGCUGAUAGCGCGAAAGCCAGGGGAGCAAACGGG
rnacentral:rRNA from 1 species